rnacentral:lncRNA from 1 species
UUGAAAGUAUGAGCUUACCUUUGCACCAAAAUUUUGGGACUGUCAUCGAGUAUAGGCUAAUUGAUAGCAGUUGUUAGGGACUCGAAACUAAGUAAUCAUUCUGAACCUUGAUGAAUUGAGACAGCUGCCCUGUUUGCACUAUCAAGGCAGCCUACUUGCACGACUCUGAAUGUAUCUACUAUUUUGUUUCGACAAGUUCUACAUUGAUCACUAAAGUGUUUCCCCUUUAUCUGGAUAUAUGAUCAUGCUGCAUAUUUCUGCUAGUUUAAAGCUGUUGAAGUUCCCAUUGGAUAAUAUUUGAUCUUUGAGGCUCACCAUGUUGAAGGACCAGUGGGUGUUCAUGUUUUUUUUUUUUUUUUGCAUGAGAAUUCUGUCAUUGAACUUCUUUAACAAAACA